UCAAUUGACUUUCAAUUUUAUCCUCUUAAUUUUAAAAAUAAUAUAAUAUAUCCACACCCUUCUAAUAUUUCCAAAGUAUAUUAACUAACUUCUCUUCCACCCUGCAAUUAUUUAAUAUUUUAAAACUAUGUAACAUAUCGGUCCCUAUCUUCCUAAAUUUACACUAAUUAACAACCUUUUCACUUUUCUCAAAAAAAUUAACAACCUUUUCACGUGUAAUUUUCUACUCUCACCAUUCUUUUUUUUUUUCCUCUUUAAAACCUU
rnacentral:lncRNA from 1 species